GUAGGUGGCAAGCGUUGUCCGGAAUUAUUGGGCGUAAAGCGCGCGCAGGCGGUUCUUUAAGUCUGAUGUGAAAGCCCACGGCUCAACCGUGGAGGGUCAUUGGAAACUGGAGAACUUGAGUACAGAAGAGGAAAGCGGAAUUCCACGUGUAGCGGUGAAAUGCGUAGAGAUGUGGAGGAACACCAGUGGCGAAGGCGGCUUUCUGGUCUGUAACUGACGCUGAGGCGCGAAAGCGUGGGGAGCAAACAGGAUUAGAUACCCUGGUAGUCCACGCCGUAAACGAUGAGUGCUAAGUGUUAGGGGGGUUUCCGCCCCCCUUAGUGCUGCAGCUAGCGCAUUAAGCACUCCGCCUGGGAGUACGGCCGCAAGGCUG
rnacentral:rRNA from 1 species